rnacentral:rRNA from 1 species
UACGUAGGGGCCUAGCGUUGUCCGGAUUUAUUGGGCGUAAAGAGCUCGUAGGCGGUUCGGUAAGUCAGGUGUGAAAUCUCCACGCUCAACGUGGAGGCGCCACCUGAAACUGCCGUGACUCGAGUCCGGUAGGGGAGUGUGGAAUUCCCGGUGUAGCGGUGAAAUGCGUAGAUAUCAAGAGGAACACCUGAGGUGAAGACGGGUUGCUGGGCUGACACUGACGCUGACAGCGCGAAAGCUAGGGGAGCAAACGGG